AUUGAACGCUGGCGGCAGGCCUAACACAUGCAAGUCGAGCGGAGCGGCGGACGGGUGAGUAAUGCCUAGGAAUCUGCCUGGUAGUGGGGGAUAACGUCCGGAAACGGGCGCUAAUACCGCAUACUAUCAGAUGAGCCUAGGUCGGAUUAUCAAGGUGGUGGGGUAAAGGCCUAUCAAGGCGACGACCCGUAACUGGUCUGAGAGGAUGAUCAGUCACACUGGAACUGAGACACGGUCCAGACUCCUACGGGAGGCAGCAGUGGGGAAUAUUGGACAAUGGGCGAAAGCCUGAUCCAGCCAUGCCGCGUGUGUGAAGAAGGUCUUCGGAUUGUAAAGCACUUUCAGCGAGGAGGCGUUACUCGCAGAAGAAGCACCAGCUAACUCCGUGCCAGCAGCCGCGGUAAUUG
rnacentral:rRNA from 1 species